rnacentral:rRNA from 1 species
CCUACGGGAGGCAGCAGUAGGGAAUCUUCCACAAUGGACGAAAGUCUGAUGGAGCAACGCCGCGUGAGUGAAGAAGGGUUUCGGCUCGUAAAGCUCUGUUGGUAGUGAAGAAAGAUAGAGGUAGUAACUGGCCUUUAUUUGACGGUAAUUACUUAGAAAGUCACGGCUAACUACGUGCCAGCAGCCGCGGUAAUACGUAGGUGGCAAGCGUUGUCCGGAUUUAUUGGGCGUAAAGCGAGUGCAGGCGGUUCAAUAAGUCUGAUGGGAAAGCCUUGGGCUCAAACGGCGAAUUGCAUCAGAAACUGGUGAACUUGAGUGUAGAAGAGGAGAGUGGAACGCCAGGUGUAGCGGUGGAAUGCGUAGAUAUAUGGAAGAACACCAGUGGCGAAGGCGGCUCUCUGGUGUGCAACUGACGCUGAGGCUCGAAAGCAUGGGUAGCGAACAGGAUUAGAUACCCCUGUAGUC